ACCGGAGUCGUCUAAUCAGCAGGAUGGCGGAUUCUGACUCCGCAGGCGCAGGUGCGAUUCCUGCCUCCGGUU
rnacentral:tRNA from 1 species